UGCAAGUCGAACGCCCUGCUUUCGGGCAGGGAGUGGCGGACGGGUGAGUAACACAUGGGAACCUACCGCCCAGUGAGGGAUACCGGCGCGAAAGCGCCGACAAGCCCGCAUACGCUUCCCUGCAAGGGGAAGGAAAGCUUCUUCGGAGGCGCUGGGAGAUGGGCCUGUGGCCGAUUAGCUAGUUGGUGUGGUAAAAGCGCACCAAGGCGACGAUCGGUAGCUGGUCUGAGAGGACGAGCAGCCACACUGGGAUUGAGAACGGCCCAGACUCCUACGGGGGGCAGCAGUGAGGAAUUUUCCGCAAUGGAGGGAACUCUGACGGAGCAACGCCGCGUGCAGGACGACGCGUUUCGGCGUGUAAACUGCUUUUCUGUGGGAAGAGCAAGGACGGUACCACAGGAAGAAGCCCCGGCUAACUACGUGCCAGCAGCCGCGGUAAGACGUAGGGGGCGAGCGUUGUCCGGAGUUACUGGGCGUAAAGGGCCCGCAGGCGGGAGGGUGCGUUUGGUGUGACAGCUCGUGGCUUCACUACGAGAGGAUACCAAAGACGGCCGUUCUUGAGGGCCAGAGAGGGACCUGGAAGUCCGGGUGGAGCGGUGAAAUGCGUAGAGAUCCGGAGGAACACCGAAAGCGAAGGCAGGGUCCUGGCUGGUACCUGACGCUCGUGGGCGAAAGCUAGGGGAGCGAACGGGAUUAGAUACCCCGGUAGUCCUAGCCGU
rnacentral:rRNA from 1 species